AACGAACGCUGGCGGCAUGCCUAACACAUGCAAGUCGAACGAGACCUUCGGGUCUAGUGGCGCACGGGUGCGUAACGCGUGGGAACCUGCCCUUAGGUUCGGAAUAACUCCCCGAAAGGGGUGCUAAUACCGGAUAAUGUCUUCGGACCAAAGAUUGAUCGCCUUUGGAUGUGCCCGCGUUGGAUUAGCUAGUUGGUAGGGUAAAAGCCUACCAAGGCGACGAUCCAUAGCUGGUCUGAGAGGAUGAUCAGCCACACUGGGACUGAGACACGGCCCAGACUCCUACGGGAGGCAGCAGUGGGGAAUAUUGGACAAUGGGCGAAAGCCUGAUCCAGCAAUGCCGCGUGAGUGAUGAAGGCCUUAGGGUUGUAAAGCUCUUUUACCCGGGAUGAUAAUGACAGUACCGGGAGAAUAAGCACCGGCUAACUCCGUG
rnacentral:rRNA from 1 species